UACAGAGGUCUCAAGCGUUGUUCGGAUUCAUUGGGCGUAAAGGGUGCGUAGGUGGCGCUGUAAGUCGGGUGUGAAAUUUCGGAGCUAACUCCGAAACUGCAUUCGAUACUGCGGUGCUUGAGGACUGGAGAGGAGACUGGAAUUUAUGGUGUAGCAGUGAAAUGCGUAGAGAUCAUAAGGAAGACCAGUGGCGAAGGCGGGUCUCUGGACAGUUCCUGACACUGAGGCACGAAGGCCAGGGGAGCAAACGGG
rnacentral:rRNA from 1 species